AGUACAGGAUGGACCCGCGUCUGAUUAGCUAGUUGGUAAGGUAACGGCUUACCAAGGCGACGAUCAGUAGCCGACCUGAGAGGGUGAUCGGCCACAUUGGAACUGAGACACGGUCCAAACUCCUACGGGAGGCAGCAGUGGGGAAUAUUGCACAAUGGGCGAAAGCCUGAUGCAGCAACGCCGCGUGAGUGAUGAAGGCCUUCGGGUCGUAAAACUCUGUCCUCAAGGAAGAUAAUGACGGUACUUGAGGAGGAAGCCCCGGCUAACUACGUGCCAGCAGCCGCGGUAAUACGUAGGGGGCUAGCGUUAUCCGGAUUUACUGGGCGUAAAGGGUGCGUAGGCGGUCUUUCAAGUCAGGAGUGAAAGGCUACGGCUCAACCGUAGUAAGCUCUUGAAACUGGGAGACUUGAGUGCAGGAGAGGAGAGUGGAAUUCCUAGUGUAGCGGUGAAAUGCGUAGAUAUUAGGAGGAACACCAGUUGCGAAGGCGGCUCUCUGGACUG
rnacentral:rRNA from 1 species